rnacentral:lncRNA from 1 species
GAAACAGAUGGAUCUAUGACAGCUUACAAAAUUGAUAAGCACCAACCCAAUACAGUAGUAGGUACAUUUCUUGCAUUAACAAGCUGGCAACAUGUUCUCGUACAUAUGUAUUGUUUUUACCCGGAAUAAGGAUAUCCUGUAAUGGAUAUGUUCGUUUGCCCCUGGAUUUCAAUUCAAACUUGACUAGUCCAUUGAUUCAGUGUUGAUCUUAAGAUUCGGUGGACAAGUGGCCAACGGAACCCCAAUCACCUCCCCUUUCCCUUUCCUAAGCUGCUGCCUUUCCUAAGCAGCUUGGCUGCCUUUUAAGGCUGCAGUUCGCUGGCUUAAAAGGCAGCAAACUGCUGCCUUUUAAGCCUCAAAUAAUUAUUAUUAUUAUUUUAUUUUUUAUAAUAAAAAGCUCGCGAGCUCACGGGCCAGCUCGUGCAAAACUCGUGUCUCCAAAAUGGGGCUUGGCCCGAGCCUAAGCUCGAAUCUACGAGCCCCGAGCCAAGUCACGGGCGGCUCGAGUCGGCGAGCCCGAUUAUCAUCCCUGCCCAACACCACCUCAUCCACCACACAGCCUAAACUAUACAUCUCUCUACACUUAGGGGGCGGCGCGGUGGGAACCCUUAAGCUUGGGGUUCAAACUUUUUUUUUUUUUUUUACAUCUCUCUACACUCUCUCUAUUAUCUACCACCAACUCUGGCCUCUGUAAUUGACUUUGACCACAUAGGGAACAAUCACACCCAUCGUUGAGUCCAACAUCCAGAAAGAGUCCAAUCCAACACUUCGUUCUCUGCCUCCAUGGUAGUACCAAGAAGAUGAGGUAAACAGAAAAAUCGACCACCUAUCCUCCUUCAUGUGCUUCUAGUAGUCGGUGCAAUGAUGUUCAUCGCACUCUUAGAAGUAGUUGCGCUGAUGUUUUCUUGCGCUGAUGCCGACAAGUUUGACUUAAUCGACUCAGAAAAGUCGAUCCAAUCGAAUUUCUUCAACUCUGACAAUGAAGGCUUCCUCUCAAUCAAUGAUUGCAACCUCAGUGAUGUGAGGUCCAUGAUUGGAGGAUUAAAUUGACUUCCCUAAAAUCAAUAGACUUAAGGCUUAAAAGCUUGCUAAACUACCAACGACUUUAAGAUGAAGGUGGUGGUUAUGGAUUGAGGAAUAGGUGGGAGUCCCUUGUUCAAUCUAUCGACCCAGAUACUGUGUCCUAUUUUGGGCGGCGCCUAUUUUGCUUGCUGUUUUGGGUUGUUGAGGUGGUGUUUUGUGGAUCUAUUUGUGAUGCAUGUGUGUGAUUGUUUGUGCUAUGUGUAUGGUAUAUUUGGAGGCGGUGGUGAUGGAUUAUAGUGGUGAUUUGUGUGGGACGUUGGAGACGGUGGUGGUGAGGUGAUAUCAGUAUUUUUUUUGUGGUGCUGGUAGGACGGAAUGGGUCAAAAGAGGAACGUUUGGUACCAACUAUUAGAUAAUUGUCACAAUAAAUAAAUAAAAUUGUGAUCAAUGAAUAAUAUGUAAGCUUCAUGUAAUAAGAGUAGUCAUGAAAUUUGUAGACCAUUCCCGUGUAAUUUGAAACUGUGACGUUUUUUAAUUGUAACUAGUAGUAGCUAUGAUUAUAAAUUGUAUGGUAUUGUAACAUUAUUUUAUUAAUUAUUUAACUAAUACUGCCUGAUUUUUGGAAAAUUUCUUACAUUUGCCAAGUUUGAAAUUGUAUAUUAAUAGAUUGAAAGUUAUGUCCUG